rnacentral:rRNA from 1 species
CCUACGGGCGGCUGCAGUGGGGAAUAUUGGACAAUGGGCGAAAGCCUGAUCCAGCCAUGCCGCGUGUGUGAAGAAGGCCUUCGGGUUGUAAAGCACUUUCAGUGGGGAAGAAAGCCUUGGGGCUAAUACCCUCGAGGAAGGACAUCACCCACAGAAGAAGCACCGGCUAACUCCGUGCCAGCAGCCGCGGUAAUACGGAGGGUGCGAGCGUUAAUCGGAAUUACUGGGCGUAAAGCGCGCGUAGGCGGUCUGAUAAGCCGGUUGUGAAAGCCCCGGGCUCAACCUGGGAACGGCAUCCGGAACUGUCAGGCUAGAGUGCAGGAGAGGAAGGUAGAAUUCCCGGUGUAGUGGUGAAAUGCGUAGAGAUCGGGAGGAAUACCAGUGGCGAAGGCGGCCUUCUGGACUGACACUGACGCUGAGGUGCGAAAGCGUGGGUAGCAAACAGGAUUAGAUACCCCUGUAGUC